rnacentral:rRNA from 1 species
AUUGAACGCUGGCGGCAGGCUUAACACAUGCAAGUCGAGCGAGCGGCGGACGGGUGAGUAAUGUCUGGGAAACUGCCUGAUGGAGGGGGAUAACUACUGGAAACGGUAGCUAAUACCGCAUACCAUCAGAUGUGCCCAGAUGGGAUUAGCGAGUAGGUGGGUUAAUGGCUCACCUAGGCGACGAUCCCUAGCUGGUCCGAGAGGAUGACGGGCCACACUGGAACUGAGAAACGGCCCAGACCCCUACGGGAGGAAGCAGUGGGGAAUAUUGCACAAUGGGGGCAAUCCUGAUGCAGCCAUGCGGCUGGGGGGAAGAAGGCCUUCGGGUUGUAAAGCACGUUAAGCGAGGAGGCGUUACUCGCAGAAGAAGCACCGGCUAACUCCGUGCCAGCAGCCGCGGUAAUAC